UCAUGGCGGAGAAGACCAACAGGGAUUGCCUCAGUAACGGCGAGUGAAGCGGCAACAGCUCAAAUUUGAAAUCUGGCCCUCGGGUCCGAGUUGUAAUUUGUAGAGGAUGCUUUUGGCGCGGUGCCUUCCGAGUUCCCUGGAACGGGACGCCUUAGAGGGUGAGAGCCCCGUACGGUUGGACACCAAGCCUCUGUAAAGCUCCUUCGACGAGUCGAGUAGUUUGGGAAUGCUGCUCUAAAUGGGAGGUAAAUUUCUUCUAAAGCUAAAUAUUGGCCAGAGACCGAUAGCGCACAAGUAGAGUGAUCGAAAGAUGAAAAGCACUUUGAAAAGAGGGUUAAAUAGCACGUGAAAUUGUUGAAAGGGAAGCGUUUGCGACCAGACCUUUUCCUGGCGGAUCAUCCGGUGUUCUCACCGGUGCACUUCGCCAGGUCGAGGCCAGCAUCGGUUUCCGCGGGGGGAUAAAAGCUCUGGGAACGUAGCUCCUCCGGGAGUGUUAUAGCCCUCUGCACAAUACCCCCGCGGGGACCGAGGACCGCGCUCUAAGCAAGGAUGCUGGCGUAAUGGUUGUCAACGACCCGUCUUGAAACACGGACCAAGGAGUCGAACAUUUGUGCGAGUGUUUGGGUGUCAAACCCUCACGCGUAAUGAAGGUGAACGUAGGUGAGAGCCCUUACGGGUGCAUCAUCGACCGAUCCUGAUGUCUUCGGAUGGAUUUGAGUAAGAGCAUAACUGUUCGGACCCGAAAGAUGGUGAACUAUGCGUGGAUAGGGUGAAGCCAGAGGAAACUCUGGUGGAGGCUCGCAGCGGUUCUGACGUGCAAAUCGAUCGUCAAAUCUGCGCAUGGGGGCGAAAGACUUAUCGAACCAUCUAGUAGCUGGUUACCGCCGAAGUUUCCCUCAGAUAGCAGUGUUGUUCUUCAGUUUUAUGAGUAAAGCGAAUGAUUAGGGACUCGGGGGCGCUUUUUUGCCUUCAUCCAUUCUCAAACUUUAAAUAUGUAAGAAGCCCUUGUUACUUAAUUGGACGU
rnacentral:rRNA from 1 species